rnacentral:ncRNA from 1 species
AAACAGUGGUGCACGGCUGUCGUCAGCUCGUGUCGUGAGAUGUUGGGUUAAGUCCCGCAACGAGCGCAACCCCUAUCUUAUGUUGCCAGCACUUCGGGUGGGAACUCAUGAGAGACUGCCGCAGACAAUGCGGAGGAAGGCGGGGAUGACGUCAAGUCAUCAUGCCCCUUAUGACCUGGGCUACACACGUACUACAAUGGGCUUUAAUAGAGGGAAGCGAAGCCGCGAGGUGGAGCAAACCCCAGAAACAAGCUCUCAGUUCGGAUCGUAGGCUGCAACUCGCCUACGUGAAGUCGGAAUCGCUAGUAAUCGCAGGUCAGCAUACUGCGGUGAAUACGUUCCCGGGCCUUGUACACACCGCCCGUCACACCACGAAAGUCGGAAGUACCCAAAGCCGGUGGGGUAACCUUCGGGAGCCAGCCGUCUAAGGUAAAGUCGAUGAUUGGGGUGAAGUCGUAACAAGGUAGCCGUAUCGGAAGGUGCGGCUGGAUCACCUCCUUU